GAUGAACGCUGGCGGCGUGCCUAAUACAUGCAAGUCGAACGGGGAGUAGCAAUACUCUUAGUGGCGAACGGGUGAGUAACGCGUUGGUACCUGCCCCGAAGCGGGGGAUAACGGACCGAAAGGUCCGCUAAUACCCCAUGUGCUCGGUAACGAGUAAAGGUGAAAACCACUUUGGGAGGGGCCUGCGUCCCAUCAGCUAGUUGGUAAGGUAACGGCUUACCAAGGCGAUGACGGGUAGGGGACCUGAGAGGGUGGCCCCCCACAAUGGAACUGAAACACGGUCCAUACACCUACGGGUGGCAGCAGUAGGGAAUAGUGGUAAUGGGCGCAAGCCUGAACCAGCAACGCCGCGUGUGCGAUGACGGCCUUCGGGUUGUAAAGCACUUUUGACUGGGACGAGGAAGGACGGUACCGGUCGAAUCAGCCUCGGCUAACUACGUG
rnacentral:rRNA from 1 species